CAUUGCUUGCUUCUGUAAACCCAGCUAAUGUGAUUUAUCUGAUCCAUUUCAAUGCAAGAGAAUGAAAUGGCUCCGCAGUGCCUGUGGGCUCCUGAAGGAAAGGAGAGAUGAGAUCAUUAUGGGCAGAACUUAGAACCUCUGGAUGAAUAGAGACGAGGUAAAAUUCUGGCACCUAUCCACAGCCUGAACCUUGGAGAGCACCUCCCUUUCAUAUGACUUCUGCAAAGGGCAUGUUUCAGCUCACAGGGACAAAGAGUCACUGCACCAGAGAACCAGAAAGAGUGAAGAAAUGUUUGUCCCCGGUGCUGAGAACACCACAGAUGAUCUUUCUGCCCAGAGCCACCAUCUUGUCUCUAAAUAUCAGGGUUAUCAAUGCCUGGCCAUCUCUUUUCAAUUUGGGACAACUGCCAGCAACCACUAGCUAGCUCCAGAAUUCCUCAGGUAUGGAAGCUGUCCCUGGGUCUCCAUCACAUCUGACUUCUUCUUCUUUCCAAUUAUGCUUCUUCUCCCACCUCCACUUUCACAAGUGUGUUCCUCAAAGGAGCUCCU
rnacentral:lncRNA from 1 species